rnacentral:rRNA from 1 species
CCUACGGGGGGCUGCAGUGGGGAAUAUUGGACAAUGGGCGAAAGCCUGAUCCAGCCAUGCCGCGUGUGUGAAGAAGGCCUUCGGGUUGUAAAGCACUUUCAGUGGGGUAGAAAGCCUUGGGGCUAAUACCCUCGAGGAAGGACAUCACCCACAGAAGAAGCACCGGCUAACUCCGUGCCAGCAGCCGCGGUAAUACGGAGGGUGCGAGCGUUAAUCGGAAUUACUGGGCGUAAAGCGCGCGUAGGCGGUCUGAUAAGCCGGUUGUGAAAGCCCCGGGCUCAACCUGGGAACGGCAUCCGGAACUGUCAGGCUAGAGUGCAGGAGAGGAAGGUAGAAUUCCCGGUGUAGCGGUGAAAUGCGUAGAGAUCGGGAGGAAUACCAGUGGCGAAGGCGGCCUUCUGGACUGACACUGACGCUGAGGUGCGAAAGCGUGGGUAGCAAACAGGAUUAGAUACCCCGGUAGUG